UCUCUUCUAUCUCCUCUUAACAGCUUUGCAAGUAUAUGCUAAAGAAUAAAAAGAAAAGAAAGUCUCAAGUGACUUAAAAAUCACUCGGCUAAAUAGAUGAUAAUUUCUCAACCAUGCUUCCUCUCCUUCUAAUUCCAGAGCUCUUCAGUAUCCCCAUCAGCCAGUUUCCGAGGUGCUGAGAAGCACAGAAACUCCACAGACUACUCUUCAGAGAGCAAAAAGCAGAAAACUGAAGAGAAGGAAAUUGCAGCUCGUUACGACAGCGAUGGUGAGAAAAGUGAUGACAACUUGGUGGUUGACGUUUCCAAUGAGGAUCCAUCUUCCCCUCGAGGGAGCCCAGCACAUUCCCCCAGAGAGAAUGGCCUAGACAAGACACGCCUGCUCAAGAAAGAUGCCCCGAUUAGUCCAGCCUCUAUUGCAUCUUCCAGCAGUACUCCCUCCUCCAAAUCCAAAGAACUUAGCCUUAAUGAAAAAUCUACUACUCCCGUUUCAAAGUCCAAUACCCCUACUCCACGAACUGAUGCGCCCACCCCAGGCAGUAACUCUACUCCCGGAUUGAGGCCUGUACCUGGAA
rnacentral:sRNA from 1 species